rnacentral:rRNA from 1 species
UGGGGAAUAUUGCACAAUGGGCGAAAGCCUGAUGCAGCGACGCCGCGUGAGGGAUGACGGCCUUCGGGUUGUAAACCUCUUUCAGCAGGGAAGAAGCGAAAGUGACGGUACCUGCAGAAGAAGCGCCGGCUAACUACGUGCCAGCAGCCGCGGUAAUACGUAGGGCGCAAGCGUUGUCCGGAAUUAUUGGGCGUAAAGAGCUCGUAGGCGGUUAGUCGCGUCUGCUGUGAAAAUCUCGAGGCUCAACCUCGGGCUUGCAGUGGGUACGGGCUGACUAGAGUGCGGUAGGGGUGACUGGAAUUCCUGGUGUAGCGGUGGAAUGCGCAGAUAUCAGGAGGAACACCGAUGGCGAAGGCAGGUCACUGGGCCGCAACUGACGCUGAGGAGCGAAAGCAUGGGGAGCGAACAGGAUUAGAUACCCUGGUAGUCCAUGCCGUAAACGUUGGGCACUAGGUGUGGGGUCCAUUCCACGGAUUCCGUGCCGCAGCAAACGCAUUAAGUGCCCCGCCUGGGGAGUACGGCCGCAAGGCUAAAACUUAAA